rnacentral:lncRNA from 1 species
GUGGGCUGCGGAAUUCUCGUGGUGUUUGUCGGGGAGCUGCGAUAAUGGCGUCCGUCCUCGCGAGAGAAGCAGCCGCUCUGCGCAGGCGCCGAGAGCGCCUCCCCACGGCCUGCGCCCCGCCCUCAGCGCAGGCUCCCUGGGCUCCGGGCUCGAGGGCGGGGCCGGUCAGGAAGGGGGCGGGGCCUGCUCUGGGCGCCUCUGGCGCGCGCUUUCGCCGACGGACUCUGACGAGCAUGCGCAGUUGUCCUCCCCUGCUCCGAGAGUUGACUCGCUGGGCCCUUACUUCCCCAUCUCACGUCCGUGUUACUUGCUAAAGCAGUAAAUCCUCCAGUGUUCAAUCUGAGGAAUGUACGUCCUCUUUGAUGGGUGUGAACAGACACUAACGCUGCCCUGACUACAAAUGACUACAAAUCCCAGUGUACGCUGUGUGUGGCACGAUGCGUCCUGGGACUGGUAGUCUCUGCGGCCGUGAUUUGCCUGCUGGGAUUUGUAGUCCAUCCGGAUUCUGGCAGCCCCAUGCCUUCCCUGCCCUGAGGGCUGCUGGGACUUGUAGUGUCAGCGGCUCAAAUGGGCUGUACGCUCCCAAACCCGUCCUACCUACUCUACCUGGCAUCGUCUCAGACGUUCCGGGCUCGUUCAGUGGCAUGGUCUGGAAAGUUGCCUGACUUCCUUAUGGGCAAGCUGGUCGCGGGGACACUGUCACUGUGAUAGAGAUUAUAUGUGACAUGCUUACGUAUCAUGCAAUAGGAGCUAUGCAGCAUCGAUGUGCAUUUGUUGCCAGAAAUGCCACUAAUGGCUCUCUGCACCUGGUCUGUCGUCAGCGUUCCUUUCCAGGCUGGCCCCUUCUGCAUGUUCGCAGUAAGCAAUCCUACAAACCGGGAUACAGGAGUUAUUUUCACUUAGAAAACCAAACAAAACAAAAACCUGUUUCCUGCCCGUUCCCCUGUGCCGAUAAUAAAGCCAUGACUCAGUGCAGCUA